UACGUAGGGGGCAAGCGUUGUCCGGAAUCAUUGGGCGUAAAGAGCGUGUAGGCGGCUCGGUAAGUCCGCUCUGAAAGCCCGGGGCUCAACCCCGGGAGGCGGGCGGAUACUGUCGGGCUAGAGUCCGGAAGAGGCGAGUGGAAUUCCUGGUGUAGCGGUGAAAUGCGCAGAUAUCAGGAGGAACACCAAUGGCGAAGGCAGCUCGCUGGGACCGGUACUGACGCUGAGACGCGAAAGCGUGGGGAGCAAACAGGA
rnacentral:rRNA from 1 species